CAGAGUUAGGGUCUUCUAGGCCUGAUCUCCAACCCUUUGUCAAAUUUACUUUGUUGCUUUGGCGAGCCCGUCCUUAUGGCCCGCCGGAGGUUGUUUCAACUUCUGGUCAGUGUUCGCCAAUAGCCUACUUAAAUUCUUUUACAAAAUUGUCGUCUGAAGUGAUAAUCGAAUUAUCUA
rnacentral:misc_RNA from 1 species